GUAAAAUGAGAAAGAAUGGGGUUUGACGUGGCAACAGAAUGGAUUUCUGCUGACUUAUUUGCGCCUCAUUCUUCACCCGUGUGCAGUCACGGAAGGCGGCAAGUGGCGCCUGAACAGGGACCUGAAGUGAGAACUGGAGAAGCAGCCCCAGUGUGGUUUUCUGCACGGCAGCGUCUUUCUCCCGCUGACUGACAUGGACUGCCUAAUUCCACUGGUGGAAAACAAACAAAAGAAACCUGAAGUCUGCUCCUCUGUUGGAACUGAUUUAAAACUGAGAAUUCUCUUUCUCUGCCUUCUGCUGGCACCUCUCCUAUUGUGCCUUCCCUUCGCCCACUCCUUUCCUGCACCACCUGAGGGAGCAGCCUGCAUAACUGACUCCUCAGUGCCUCAGGCACCGUCAGCUCCUCCUCCUCCCCUAGAUGUGAGGAGGGAAGACCACUGAAGUCCGAUUUCUCCACCAA